GAGGAGAUGCAAGAGUGGUGAUGUGUAGAUCUGUGGCAGCCCGCAAGCGCUUUGCAACUCAGACAGGUUCAAACAAGUGCCACUCUUUGAAGACUUAUGAAAGCCUGUUUGGUACAACUUCAGGAAGAGUGGGAAGAGGAAAGGAAGAGGUUACAGCAUGGAAACAGACAGAGGUGUCGCCCAGAGAGCCGCUAUGGGAGUGCAUCCAUUCAAAGGAGAGGCAAUAUACUUGUAAGAGACUCCCUCGCUGAGAUCGAUGAUGAUGCAUUGACCUGAAGACCGACGAGAGAUGAUCUUUGACCUCUGGCUGUAAAAGCUCAAACACACUUUCUCUUUGAAGGGCUUGUAGAAACGUCUUACCUUUGGGCCUUGGGCUCACUCGGAGAGAGCAAAGUAGGAAAAUAACAAGCAACAAAUUUACGGGUCAGCAGUCAGCAGACACCUGGAUUCUUUUUGAAUCAUGAGAUGAGACCAAGAGCCAAGUUUCUGACCUUGCCCUUAGCAGGUAUGCACAUGAGAAAAACAGCCGCACUGUAUGUUUCCAUGUGGCUGAGCCUCAGGAAAGACUAGUUUUCUCCCGUUAGCCAAAAGAUUAAAAGAGCUGGUCAACAUUUCAAUAAAUACUCAUAUUGGCUUCCUUUCUGAGACUUUAAUAUCAGUACCAGUGUGCCAAAUAUGAAGCUAGCCAGCAGUCACUUAGCUUAACUAACAUAAAUACUGUAAACAGAAGAAAGCAUCCAGCCUGUCUUAAGAUGGCAAUUUCUUUUUUCUGUUUUACAAUUUUUUUCCAAUAUUUUUUUGAAAUACACUGAGAGAUCAAUAAAAAUACAAAAAGAGACUGAAUUGACAUGUAUAAUGUAAAAUCACGUAAUAAAAAUCGUAAACUUUCAAUCAUCGAUACACAAAUAUUACCUGUUUAAGAUGUGAAAGAUUUACAUUUAAAUUUAAAUACAGAUCAAGUUCGGUUUUUUGUUUGUUUGUUUGUUUUUUUUUAAGCUGUGCUUUUAAGUGGUGUCUGUAGUCGAUAUCAAUAUUCUUAUCAAACAGGGAAGCAGCGGCCUGGAUUCAAUUCCAGCUCACGGCCCUUUGCUGCAGGUCUUCCUUCAUUGUUCUCACUACUUUCCUGUAUGCCAAUCAACUAACCUAUCAAAUAAAGCCAACACAAGUCCAAAAAAAUACUUAAAAAAAGGAAAGAAAACAAAUAACUAUUUCCCUACAAAAGUUC